GACAGAGGUGCCAAGCGUUAGGCGGAAUCACUGGGCUUAAAGCGUGUGUAGGCGGAAUUGUAAGUACCUUGUGAAAUCCCACGGCUCAACCGUGGAACUGCUUGGUAUACUGCUUGUCUUGAGCCACUUAGGGGCUACCGGAACAAAUGGUGGAGCGGUGAAAUGCGUAGAUAUCAUUUGGAACGCCAAUGGUGAAAACAGGUAGCUGGGAGUGUGCUGACGCUGAGACACGAAAGCCAGGGGAGCGAACGGG
rnacentral:rRNA from 1 species